rnacentral:rRNA from 1 species
GGGCCCGCACAAGCAGUGGAGCAUGUGGUUUAAUUCGACGAUACGCGAAGAACCUUACCAAGACUUGACAUCCGCAGAAUCUUCUAGAGAUAGAGGAGUGCCUUCGGGAACUGCGUGACAGGUGGUGCAUGGCUGUCGUCAGCUCGUGUCGUGAGAUGUUGGGUUAAGUCCCGCAACGAGCGAAACCCUUGUCUUAUGUUACCAGCACGUUAUGGUGGGGACUCAUAAGAGACUGCCCGUGGAAAGCGGGAGGAAGGUGAGGACGACGUCAAGUCAUCAUGCCCCUUACGUCUUGGGCCACACACAUGCUACAAUGGCCGGUACAAUGAGUCGCGAAGCCGCGAGGUGGAGCCAAUCUCAAAAAACCGGUCUCAGUUCGGAUUGUACUCUGCAACUCGAGUACAUAAAGAUGGAAUC